rnacentral:rRNA from 1 species
CCUACGGGUGGCUGCAGUGGGGGAUAUUGCACAAUGGGGGAAACCCUGAUGCAGCGACGCCGCGUGUGGGAAGACGGUCUUCUGGAUUGUAAACCACUGUCCCCAGGGACGAAAAUGACGGUACCUGGGGAGGAAGCUCCGGCUAACUACGGGCCAGCAGCCGCGGUAAUACGUAGGGAGCAAGCGUUGUCCGGAAUUACUGGGUGAAAAGGGGGCGUAGGCGGGGAUGCAAGUUGGAUGUCAAAACUACGGGCUCAACCGCUAGUCGCACUCAAAACUGCAGCUCUGGAGUGAAGUAGAGGCAGGCGGAAUUCCUAGUGUAGCGGUGAAAUGCGUAGAUAUUAGGAGGAACACCAGUGGCGAAGGCGGCCUGCUGGGCUUUUACUGACGCUGAGGCUCGAAAGUGUGGGGAGCAAACAGGAUUAGAUACCCUUGUAGUC